AUUGAACGCUGGCGGAAUGCUUUACACAUGCAAGUCGAGCGGCAGCACGGACUUCGGUCUGGUGGCGAGUGGCGAACGGGUGAGUAAUGUAUCGGAACGUGCCCAGUCGUGGGGGAUAACGUAGUGAAAAUUACGCCAAUACCGCAUACGAGCUAUGGAUGAAAGCGGGGGAUCGCAAGACCUCGCGCGAUUGGAGCGGCCGAUAUCAGAUUAGGUAGUUGGUGGGGUAAAGGCCCACCAAGCCAACGAUCUGUUGCUGGUCUGAGAGGACGACCAGCCACACUGGAACUGAGACACGGUCCAGACUCCUACGGGAGGCAGCAGUGGGGAAUUUUGGACAAUGGGCGAAAGCCUGAUCCAGCCAUUCCGCGUGCAGGAUGAAGGCCCUCGGGUUGUAAACUGCUUUUGUACAGAACGAAAAGGUUUCUACUAAUACUAGGAGCUCAUGACGGUACUGUAAGAAUAAGCACCGGCUAACUACGUGCCAGCCGCCGCCGUAA
rnacentral:rRNA from 1 species